UGGGGGAUAUUGCACAAUGGGCGAAAGCCUGAUGCAGCGACGCCGCGUGGGGGAUGAAGGCCUUCGGGUUGUAAACUUCUUUUGCUCUGAACAAGGCGCACCAUGGGGUGUGUUGAGUGUAGGGGUUGAUUAGCGCCGGCUAACUACGUGCCAGCAGCCACGGUAAUACGUAGGGCGCGAGCGUUGUCCGGAAUUAUUGGGCGUAAAGGGCUUGUAGGUGGCUGGUUGCGUCUGUCGUGAAAGCUCAUGGCUUAACUGUGGGUUUGCGGUGGGUACGGGCUGGCUUGAGUGCAGUAGGGGAGGCUGGAAUUCCUGGUGUAGCGGUGGAAUGCGCAGAUAUCAGGAGGAAUACCGGUGGCGAAGGCGGGUCUCUGGGCUGUUACUGACACUGAGGAGCGAAAGCAUGGGGAGCGAACAGG
rnacentral:rRNA from 1 species